rnacentral:rRNA from 1 species
UACGUAGGGAGCAAGCGUUGUCCGGAAUCAUUGGGCGUAAAGCGCGCGUAGGUGGCUUCGUAAGUCCGUUGUGAAAGUCAAAGGCUCAACCUUUGAAUGCCGAUGGAUACUGCGGAGCUAGAGUACGGAAGAGGCGAGUGGAAUUCCUGGUGUAGCGGUGGAAUGCGUAGAUAUCUGGAGGAACACCGGUGGCGAAGGCGACAUCCUGGACCGACACUGACGCUGAGGGAGCGAAAGCCAGGGAGCAAGCGGGA